rnacentral:lncRNA from 1 species
GGGUCCAUACACUUAUAUUACAUCUAGCUAAACUUGCACAAUUUAAUGAGCUUUUAAUCUCAGUUAUUGGAAUGUAUUUACUGACUAUAAACUUACCAACAAAUAUUUAUAUUUAAAAUAGCAUCCAACACACAUAAAUUUGCUUGAAAAUUAUGAAUGUAGAAUAGCCAGUCUAGUUCCUAGAUAUAGGGCAUCUUGAAAUGUCCCUCAAGUCUGUACAUUAUUUGCGUUGGCUGUGACUCAUACUGAAAUCCCAGUCUGCUGUAUUAAACUAAACCAUAAAUUAAAAUGUAUGUUUCUAAGAGCAUGUAUAUAUUUAUACACAGCACAUAAAACCAUACAACAUGAGUGUACUUGAAAUUACAUGUGGAUGGAGACAUAUAUCCACUUACCAGGAAGUAAGCCACAUUAAGUUUUUAUAGGAAUAUUUCUGAGUAGAUUAUCUAGUAUUGUGCUAUAAUUCUUUUGCAGGCUAUAGAAACAGUCCAACUUACAAACAAUUCAUAGUUAGGAAUGGGGCUGAGACAACAGAAAGUGAGAGAAAUCUACACCAAGGAAAGGAAAUUCACUCCUGGAAGAGUUAUCAUGGCAAAAAGUUGUCUCCACUGAAGCUUUACCACCAAUCCUUGUUUCCACAGCAAGCCACUUGGUAUAUGCUGUACCAACACGGGAGGCUUCCCACAUUACAUUGGUAACAAUGGGGGAAAGCCAGGUGAUGAACACUUCCCCAUGUGGAAUGGAAUUCAAGCGAUGUGGAGUGACAGGUUCCCCAUGCCCCCCAUAGGCACCACCAAAUUUGCCAUGAUCCAUGGUAAUUCCAGCAGCCAGCAUGAUGAGAAUCUAACUUGGAAGUGAAUUCCACUGGAUGUAUUGGAUUGACUCCCACAUCCGCCUGAAUCUGAUUAGCAGCAACCCUGUAUACACAUAAUUUCUUAUUAUUUUUGUUGUCUUCAAAUUAUUUCUGAUUUAUGGUAACCCUAAGGUGAACCUUUUCGUGGCAAGAUUUGUUCAGAAGGAGUUUGCUUUUGCCUUUUCUGAGAGUGAGAGAAUUUGACUUGCCUAAGGUUACCCAAUGGGUUUCCAUGGCUGAGCGGUA